AGGCAGUUACUUGCAGCCUUCUGAAGUGCCAUGGUGUUCCUCUGCAUGGGCUGAUGCCUUCUGAAGAGAAAAGCUGGACAAAGAAAGAUGUGGUUUAUCCUGGAAGAAAGAAAUUACAAAUGUCAGGAUAACGAUGAGACAACAUCAGCUCAUCAACAAAUAUCUGGAAGCAGCAGCUAACAGAGAGACUGAACAGCAGCAGACCUUUCAAGAGGUCUCAGAAGACCCUACUACAUUGUGUAUCUACAGUUAAGACAGAGAAUUGUGUUCAAAUGGAGAAAGACCAAAAGGCUGAGGAUGGGCAUCACUGGAAAGGCCAUGGGGAAUACACCAGAGCUGGAUGCUCGAGAAGAGAAAGUGCUAAAGGUUGACUUCAAUGGGAAUGCUCCCUGGCGAAGGUGAAGAUUUGACCCAGAAAGGUUUGAGUGAGUUUCUGAGCAAACUGAAUUAUCUUUUGUGUUUUGCAAACAUGGGUCAGCUAAAAAAAGUGCAAAAGUUUAGCUCCCAGACCACAUGUUUGAGUGAAACUAUUUCAUGUUAUUCCUUUAAAAAACAGCCCUUCUAUUUUACUUCCCAACUGCAAUGAAAUGUUGUACUCUAAAUAAAAGCUGUCUUUAGCCCUGCAUUUUGUAAAUGUAGUGCAUUAGCCGGGGCAGUUACUUGCUGUUUAGAUUUUUAUUAAUUCUAAACUUACCUCUUUUCAUGGAACUCUUUUGAUUCCUAUUCUGCUUGCAUUUAUUGGCACAGUAAGAACAUGCUAUUUUCUAAGCAGUUGCUUCAAAGUUUGGGCCUUAUCCUUUUAUUAGAGAACAUUUGUAUUGAGCAAAGUACCACGAUCAAAGUGAGGAUACAAACUGUGUUUGAUCAUGAAUAAUGAAGACUUGUUUCUUCUUCCAAAGCUAAACUGUCUACAUCCUGAUUCUAUAAUAAUAUUCUUAUCUAUGAAAAUAUUAGUUUCCUUAUUCUGAAAUAUUUUUUAUCUGCCUAAAUUAUCACAGCUUGUUUAGGAUUAUUUGAUCAUUAUAGUUCAUUUAGAGCAGUACUUAAAAAUAGUUACCAAAUCUCUGACAUAUUUGAAAUCUCUGAAUAUUUGAGCAUAUUUCAGGAUGAAAUUUUCUGGUUUGUUCUGAUAUAAUUGAUUUACUGAAUCUAAACUAAUUGCUCUGCUUUCUGCUGUUUACACAUUUUUCUUAUCUUUAAAAUUUCAUAUAGCAAAUGAGCACACAAUAUUUUUUGUCUAUCUAAUGUUAGCUGCAGUAUAUAGUAUGUUGAUCUUAGAAUGUUAUGGUUUAGAUUGUUUUAUUGCAUUGAUUGGACUCAAUAUUGAGUAUUGAAAAGUUAAAUAGUUAAUAGCCAUUUAUCAAAAUAGAGAAAUAGCCAAUGUCCGUGUAAUUUUGUCAUGCUGUAGUAUUUAAAUACUUUUCAGUACACUUUAGCAUGUUCCUGUUAAUAAUUAAAACCAUCUUGUAACGGAUUGAAGGUGACCAGUUCCAAGAAGAAGAAACAUGGAGAGAUGCAUUGUAAGAAAUGAGUUAAUAACAAGAAAAUGUGGGAAAUCAUUUUUGAAAAAUCUGAAUCUCAACUUGUGCUUUAUAAAUCACGACCCAGAAGUAACUGGGGAUUCAGCCAGAUCUCAUUAAUUGCAGAGGAAGAGAAACUAUAAAGACUGAAAUUUAUGUAA